GAGUUUGAUCCUGGCUCAGGACGAACGCUGGCGGCGUGCCUAAUACAUGCAAGUAGAACGCUGAAGACUUUAGCUUGCUAAAGUUGGAAGAGUUGCGAACGGGUGAGUAACGCGUAGGUAACCUGCCUACUAGCGGGGGAUAACUAUUGGAAACGAUAGCUAAUACCGCAUAACAGCAUUUAACCCAUGUUAGAUGCUUGAAAGGAGCAAUUGCUUCACUAGUAGAUGGACCUGCGCUGUAUUAGCUAGUUGGUGAGGUAACGGCUCACCAAGGCGACGAUACAUAGCCGACCUGAGAGGGUGAUCGGCCACACUGGGACUGAGACACGGCCCAGACUCCUACGGGAGGCGGCAGUAGGGAAUCUUCGGCAAUGGGGGCAACCCUGACCGAGCAACGCCGUGUGAGUGAAGAAGGUUUUCGGAUCGUAAAGCUCUGUUGUAAGAGAAGAACGUGUGUGAGAGUGGAAAGUUCACACAGUGACGGUAACUUACCAGAAAGGGACGGCUAACUACGUGCCAGCAGCCGCGGUAAUACGUAGGUCCCGAGCGUUGUCCGGAUUUAUUGGGCGUAAAGCGAGCGCAGGCGGUUUAAUAAGUCUGAAGUUAAAGGCAGUGGCUUAACCAUUGUUCGCUUUGGAAACUGUUAGACUUGAGUGCAGAAGGGGAGAGUGGAAUUCCAUGUGUAGCGGUGAAAUGCGUAGA
rnacentral:rRNA from 1 species